rnacentral:rRNA from 1 species
UACGUAGGGGGCAAGCGUUGUCCGGAUUUAUUGGGCGUAAAGAGCGUGUAGGCUGCUUUACAGGUCCGUUGUGAAAACUCGAGGCUCAACCUCGAGACGCCGGUGGAAACCGUAAAGCUAGAGUCCGGAAGAGGAGAGUGGAAUUCCUGGUGUAGCGGUGAAAUGCGCAGAUAUCAGGAGGAACCCCCGUGGCGAAAGCGGCUCUCUGGGACGGUACUGACGCUGAGACGCGAAAGCGUGGGGAGCAAACAGG